rnacentral:rRNA from 1 species
UACGUAGGGCGCAAGCGUUUAUCCGGAAUUAUUGGGCGUAAAGAGCUCGUAGGCGGUUUGUCGCGUCUGCCGUGAAAGUCCGGGGCUCAACUCCGGAUCUGCGGUGGGUACGGGCAGACUAGAGUGAUGUAGGGGAGACUGGAAUUCCUGGUGUAGCGGUGAAAUGCGCAGAUAUCAGGAGGAACACCAGCGGCGAAGGCGGCGCUCUGGGCCGGAACUGACGCUGAGGAGCGAAAGCGUGGGUAGCAAACAGG